AGCCGGAGCUAUAGCGGGCUACUUUUUGCUGUGGCUGUUGAUGUGGACCACGGCUAUUGGGUUGUUGGUUCAGCUGUUGUCGGCUAGGCUUGGUGUGGCGACGAGGAGACACUUGGCUGAGCUCUGUAGAGAAGAGUAUCCGACUUGGGGCAGGAUGAUUUUGUGGGUAAUGGCGGAGUUGGCUUUGAUUGGGGUUGAUAUACAGGAAGUUAUUGGAAGUGCUAUUGCUAUUAAGAUUUUGAGUAAUGGUGCUUUGCCUUCGUGGGCUGGUGUUUUUAUUACAGCUUUGAUUGUUUUAUCUUCUUGUUUCUUGAAAACUAUGGAGUGAGAAAGCUGGAAGCAUUUUUUGCUGUCCUUAUUGCUACAAUGGCAGUCUCAUUUGCUUGGAUGUUUGGUCAAACAAAACCCAGUGGCACCGAAAUUCUUCUUGGUGUUUUGAUUCCAAAACAUAGCUCCAAAUCCAUCAAACAAGCUGUGCGAGUUGUGGGCUGCAUUAUUAUGCCUCACAAUGUAUUCUUGCACUCUGCUCUCGUGCCAUCAAACAAGCUGAAGUAGCUAAAAGAAUUGUAGAAGUUGAGUUCAUUGGUCAACUUAUUGCUCUUCUAACUCGCAUGCAUAGUCGCCUUGUCUUAAUAAAACAAUCUCAGACCUGUAGCCCAGUUCGUAUACCUCCUGAGUUUAUAUGUCCCCUUUCCCUAGAGAUAAUGGCUGAUCCAGUGAUUGUCGCAUCAGGACACACC